AUUUAGGUAGAUUAAAUAAAUUAUAUCAUUGAAGAUGAUAAGAUAACUUUGUUCUUAAAUA
rnacentral:tRNA from 1 species